UCCCCUUUAAUUAAAAGAGAUUGUGGUCAAAUUAAAUAGGAGACAUAUGGAAAUUUGGGGCUGACCAUAAUCUCUUUUUUGGCCUAUUCCUCCUUUUUCUUUGGAUUAGGCCUUCUCUUUAUGGUCAAUUUCCAUGCUCACAUCAUCCCCUCUCCCUUCAAAAAUGAUUCAUCCUCAAAUCGGACACUUCUUAUGCAGAGGUUUCACUAAUCCUGUUUUCUUUGAGAAAAUAUCUUGCAAAAAAACACUAUGAAACAAAGAACGUUU
rnacentral:lncRNA from 1 species